AGUGGGGAAUUUUGGACAAUGGGCGAAAGCCUGAUCCAGCAAUGCCGCGUGAGUGAAGAAGGCCUUCGGGUUGUAAAGCUCUUUUGUCAGGGAAGAAACGGUGGGGGCUAAUAUCCCUCGCUAAUGACGGUACCUGAAGAAUAAGCACCGGCUAACUACGUGCCAGCAGCCGCGGUAAUACGUAGGGUGCAAGCGUUAAUCGGAAUUACUGGGCGUAAAGCGUGCGCAGGCGGUUUUGUAAGUCUGACGUGAAAUCCCCGGGCUCAACCUGGGAACUGCGUUGGAGACUGCAAGGCUAGAAUCUGGCAGAGGGGGGUAGAAUUCCACGUGUAGCAGUGAAAUGCGUAGAGAUGUGGAGGAACACCGAUGGCGAAGGCAGCCCCCUGGGUCAAGAUUGACGCUCAUGCACGAAAGCGUGGGGAGCAAA
rnacentral:rRNA from 1 species